rnacentral:rRNA from 1 species
UACGUAGGCAGCGAGCGUUGUUCGGAAUUACUGGGCGUAAAGAGUGUGUAGGCGGUGCUCUAAGUUCGGUGUGAAAUCUCCUGGCUCAACUGGGAGGGUGCGCCGGAAACUGGAGUGCUUGAGCGUGGGAGAGGAAAGCGGAAUUCCUGGUGUAGCGGUGAAAUGCGUAGAUAUCAGGAGGAACACCGGUGGCGAAGGCGGCAUCCUGGACCGGCAUUGACGCUGAUGAGCGAAAGCUAAGGGAGCAAACGGG